UCAGCCUCAAGGGAACAAGCUGCUUUUCCAGCCUGUACUUUCAGGCUGAACUAAGGUUACAUAGCAGCUGUAUGACACUUCUCAACAGCCUGUAUCUCAAGACUCUAAACAGUUUCCAAACCUCUUUGAUUACAUGUAAGCCUUUGUGAACGACAGACCUCUACCUUCCACUUAACGGCCAAAUAAUCCCUAAAGACUGCAUGUGAGAACCAUAAACCAGCAUGUGCCAUAUUAGGCCACCAAACUGACAGCCUGCUGCCACCUGAAG